GAUUCACCGAAACUUUGGCGCUCAUUUCCUGUUUGGAACGCCGUUGGUACACAAUAGAAAGAAGAGGAUAUUAUCCGAAAAUACCAGACUUCAGUUAUCAUGAAGACUUGGAGUUUUUAUGCGUUGGUCACCCCAUGCACAAUUUCCUAUCGAUGUCAAGGCUUGCUUAGAAGCAGGCAUCAAUACAUCAGAAAAAGACUUCCUUCGCAUCAAUCCUGGGACAAAUGAGCUGUCUUUUGUCAUGAGCCACAACUUUAGGCUGACUUCACUUGAAGAGGGACUGUGUGACACAGAGACACAUUAAGUAAUUUUAGAAACAAUUUAUUUAGAAUUUCAUUUGCUAAACCACUUAAGAGGGUCUGCAAAUCGCUGCGUGAUGAUCUAUUGGAAGUAACAUUGUAUAUGGAAGCUAAUAAUACAUCAAUGAGUGAAUAUUUGAAAGCAGUUUACAAAAAAUUUCAAUAGAUUUUAUUUUAAAAUACACAUACAACUACAGGCUAGUCUGUUAUUGGGAGCUGUCAAGUAAGACAAUUCAGAUUCCUUCCACAUUCUAUUAAAACCGUAGAUAAAGGGGUCUACUGUAUGAUAUUCUUUAUAGGGGGUCUUGUGAGGCUCAUUCAUUACUGACAGCAAAACAGUUCAUUAGUGCCCUUGAUGUAGACAUCACAGCUAAGGCAUCAGAUAUUUUGAAGGCUAUUGAUUGAAUAAGAAGUUGAAGACUGGAAAUGGUAUGGACUUGUUAAAAAUAAUUUAAUUUGUUAAGUGUUAUGGGCUGUGCUGUUCGGUUAAAGAAACUGAUUUUUGUGUAAAAUUUCAACCUGCGUUCAAAAGUUCAAUAUGGUUUAAUUUUUAGUGUCUGUUAAUUGUCGAACAAUGUCAUAUUUAUUCAGAGUUAAAUAAUUAGUGGGGAAUAUUAUCAAAUGUAAUCAUGUAUUGGAGAAACAAUUUAUGUCCACUAAUAUGGUUCAGGUAUAUUAUAAGCAGUGAAAAAAUGUUGGAAUAGAUAGGAAUAUUGCAUGGCACAUGUGAACAAGAGCAUACUAACAAUCAUUCUUGUUUUGGACAUCAUCAAAACGAUUUUCAUUUACUUGUUAGAUGUUAAUUGUUUUAAGGGUUUCCCAGCUGCAUUAUCCAUAUACAUAUUAUGUUUCUCAUGUUGAACACAUUUCAUAUUAAAAAAAUAUUUAUUGGUCGUUAGUAGUGUACAUGGCUUUAUCCACUUAAACUCCAGUAAUCGCUUAUAACUGCAUUUCACAAUAUUUGAGAGCCACCCGUUCUGUAAAUCUGGUUCCGUGUCGACGAUAUUCUGUGCGAAAAUUCAUGAAUUUUUCUGGUGUCUUAAUUGUUCUUGUUUCUUGAUCGGAGACUCGAGGUAAUAAUAAGAUUAAAUUAAAAUAAACCUAGGUUUUACGGAUUUUUUCACCUUGUCUAAUUUGAACCCAAAUAAAAACGUUCGCGAUAGUCUUUUUGCAGUUACCUGUGACCUGCACUGCGCAGUGCGCGUAACGCAUUCAAAUUAAACUAAAAUAAAAUAAUAUAAACAAACAAAAUGUCAAUUUUCAAUCCAAUACUUUGUAAUAAAUGCAAGACAAUAUAUAUUUAAAGUUAUCAAAAUAGAGUAUUUUGAUCUAGCAAUAAGUUCAGUGCAAAUUUUAAAACGAAAAAUGAUUUCAUUGUACAAUGUACAUUGACGUUUCAAUAUGUAAUGAUAGUCCCAUCACUUGACACCAGAGUUCAAUGAAUUACAACUCACUUUAUUUAAAAACGACCGUUAGGUUCAAAAAAUGGCGUGGCCUUCACGUGGCGUGACUUCAAAGACUGUUUUUGUCAUAAAAUGCAAACAUUUACUCCAUGUUAAUAAAAUGCGUUAUGAUUUUGCCUCGACUAGCGGCCACGGGUGGUGAGGUUAGCGGGGCGGGUAAGGAGCAGCAAUCGCCUCGCGUCGUCUAAAUUCGGACGCCUUCGGGAAUAAUCGUAAGUCGUCUUCGCGUUCGUGUUUCAAACGUUGACGCGACGACCGAUUCGCGAAAUCGUUCAUACGUAAACAUGUUUAUCAGACAACUUUAAACUAGUCUAUUAGUUCACAACAAAGAAACAGUUUAAAAAAACUGUCCGUUCAUUCGACGACCACCACUAAGUGUUAACUAUAUUUUAGUAGAAACUUAACUAAACUAUUGUGUAUUUACUAAUACUAAACGAAAAUGAAUCAAUAUGCGGAACUAGAAAACUAAACUAAGGGCUCCUACGCCGCAGACCUGUGAAAAGGAUUGCUCUGUCGGAUGCUCGUUGCAGCUCCGACGGGUAGGGGAGGUCUGGGAACAGAUACGGGUGGCCAGACUGCUGUUCGCAGCGCGCUCGGUCGCAGCUUACAUCUACAUAUACAUAAUACGAUGCGCUUGAGUCGGUUGAAGGGAUGUCACCCGGCGGCGGACCCUCCCGCUUCGUGCUGUCUCUGUCCUGUUUUUCCCUUACAUCUAACUAAAACUACAACUACUAUAUACAAAAACAAAGGACAAUAGUCAGCAACGGUCGGGGCCCGCCACCGGCCCCGUGCCGCGGCCCCACCUCUACAAACCAGAGGAGCCGCAGCACUUGAUUUUGGCGCUCAUCCGCUCCGGGUUCACCAGAAGGGGAAGACCGAGGUGAGGAAGGACCAACUUGAAAACACUCCCCUGACGGGAGAAUGGUACACCCACGAAGGUGGUGCAACGGGUACCCCCAAUAAGUGGGAUGAUGAGUGUGGACAGCUCAGUCCCAUGGGGGCACUCAUUAUGAACUAUCCCAUAUCCCGUAGAAGGUUCCAGUAGCUCCCUUGGUCGCGCCCGACCAUCCGGUGAUUUGGCGUGCAAAGGAGCUAUAUUCCGGAGAUGCUCGUGGGGUCCACGAUGGGAUGGGCCAAUGGCAAUGGUGGGCUGGUUUUUGUAGUUUGGGCAGGUGGGGAGGUCUCAGUUACCUCCAUUGUCUCAACAAUGGUUUGUGUUUGUUCGGAAGGUAUGAUGUCGGUAGCUCUUAUAGCUCUCAUUUUUUUCCCGUUUGUUUUUCAUCGUAUAUUCACUAGGCGCGAAACCGCUGGUCGGACAAGAUAUGGGUAUAGCAUCGGUAGAAGUACGGCCACGAAGAAAAUAGGAGUGGAUUUGUUUAUCUGCCGCGGCGGGUUGGCCUAUGCCAUCAACGUAGUCGCUGACGCCAUAGCUCCCACUACCAUGGCGAACAGGAUGGUAAUAAUAAUAUAAGAGGGAGGGGCAGGGGUUAGGGAAGAUUUCCCCUUCCCCUUUCGGAUGAAAACUAAAGGAGGGGCUGUGACGGUCCCGGUUCGAGGCACCGGUGGCACUGGAGGAGGAACGGAUACUCCCAUCAUCCUGGCCUUCCCUCGGUAGACCGGGCAUCGCUUAUCGACGGCGGCGUGGUCUUUCCCGCAAUCGGCACAUGGGGAUGGGCCGUCCCUCGGCCUUGGGCAGUCCGCUACAUGUGCUCCCCAGCACAUUUGACGCAACGGACCGCACGGUGACAGUUGUUGGAGGCCUGGCAGCGAUAACACUGCGCGGGCCCGCGAUUCCGGCGCCAUCCCUCAACCGUGCCACCCCCGGCAAGUUCAUUGACUGCGUACAGGUGGACGAUGUCGUCCUUCAAGAGGUGAUCCAGGGCUACGUGAAACAUGCAACCCGGACGCCUUCUCUUGGACCUUGCGUACCGAGCCGGGAAUCCCAGUUCCUUUAGGGCAUUGGUUACUUCUGCCGCAUAGGUGUCGGUAGGGAGGCCGCAGACAGCUAAAUGCGCAAAACAUCGCGCAUGGACAUAAUUUAUUUUUUGGCCUUAAGGGCCAGGGAUACGCGAUCCCAAGCGGUCUUAUCUUGUAAAAUUACUGGCGGCUAUGCGGCAAUUUGUCGGGCUGGCGCGGAGACGGAGUUACGCAAGGGAGGUGUCCGACUCGGGCGUGACAAUUGACAACACGGCGGCGGCGCGCGCGUUGGCCUCAGACGACGCCACGAUGGCGGAGAUUAUGGAGUAUGCUUCCGGGGCAUUUGUUCGAUGUGCCUUGAAGGCCCUAAGCUGAUCCUUGAUACCCGGAUGGCAUAUGCGCAGAAAUUCAGCGUAAAGUUCGCUGUCAUUCAUUUUUCUAUUUGUGGUGCCCGGGAGGGGCGUCCCCGAAACCUAAACGUAACUCGCCGAAGCGAGCCCCUAGGAUGGGGUUAAACCCCUGCGCUGUGCUAGUCCGCAAUGAUUGCAGGGGAGGGAGUGCCUAUGCCGUAAAAACGACAAUCAGCAGGAAUUGGGAUGGAGUGCGGGAAGGGGGGAACCCAUUAGGUUGUGACACGCCACAACAAGCAGAUCGUAGUGGGCUUUUUGUUUUGAGAAAGACAGUUGCGAGUUUUCGUUCGUAAACAAAUCAAGUACGGACUGUGCGUUUACGACUCAAUGUCGCGACAAGAGCGAAAAUGUUCCGAAACAACACGUCCAAACUUGGUGGCGUUGCGAGCGGAAUGUCAAUGAGAAUGUGGAAUCGCUCUCGUUGCGGCAACACCGCUCGAGAGUUAAUCUGUAUAAAAGCGCAUUCAGACUUUCAGAUUCCAUGAGGCUCGUUCCGCUCGCAACGCCAUCAAGCUGGGACGUGUUCUUUCGAAAAAUUGUCGCUGUCGUCGCAACCUUGAGUCUGAAACCCACAAAUCGUGCUUGACAGACAAUCGCUACGUUCAGGCUUGCUGUGGCAUAUCACAGCCUAGCGAUUCCCGAACCUUUCCCGGGUUAGGCUAGUUUUUUUAAGACUAGAACCCCGCUCGGUUUCCGCCCGCUGUAGCAAAUGAAGCCCAGGGGGUUCCUUCCUGAACUCCUGCUGAUUGUCGUUUUCACGGCAUAAGCACUCCCCCCUGCCAUCACUGCUGACUUGCACAGCGCAGGGGGUUAAACCCCACUCUAAGGGACUCUUGGGCGAGUACGUUUAGGUCCCGGGGGACCUCCCCCGGAUGGGCUCAUAUCCGUCGCGCGCGGUAAGAAACACGCCCGCGCCGUGGUGUCCCGAGACUCCACGACCUCCACGAAAUAGUCAAAGCCGCGAACGCGUCACAGCCCAAAACCGUCGUCACGCCCGAUACUACCCGUCGCCUAAACCCGCGCCCGUCUGCAAAGUCGCCGCACCGCCGCCGGUAACCUUAAGGGAAAAAUCGGCAUGGAAUCGCGUGUCCCUGGCCCUUAGGCCAACAAAAUAAACAUCGUCCAUGCGAGGAAUACUCCGCACGGAAUUCAAAUUAAGGUGACUACGCCUGACGACCAUAGGUCAUUGACCGCGUACCUCCGAAAGGAACGCAUAGGUUUUCAUACCUAUGCGCUCCAGGAGUACUACGACGCGGAGUUCGCGGAGCUUGACGUCCAACAGAUCAAAAACGACCUGGUUGGUCAGUUUUACCCGGUCGUAAGUGUGCAUCGCAUGCACAGAGGUCGCGAUAAAUUCGCCUACGACAUGGUGCUCAUCGCUCUCAAGCCUUCCCCUGAAGGUACCAAUGGCAUACCCGCCUUCGUGUAAGGCAGCGGUUUUACCCACGCGGAGAAGGUGGGCACCACACCCGGCACGAAGGCCAGCUUCGGCACGCGGGGCAACAAGGUCUUGGGGCCGGUCGGAGCCUUGGCGCAUCCGUGGUAGUUGGCCGUGUGACUCUGCUUCCGGCAGAGGACACAGCUCGAAGGUUCAGUCGCGAUAUCCUUGACGCGCGAACAGUUGGCGGUCGCGUGAUCUCCGAGACAAUUGACGCGAGGAAUAGUCAUACGAUUGGAAGCGAUGGCACUGCCCGGGAGUGCCGUGUUUAUAGGGGGCGGCUUCGACUGUGACCCCGAAUAGGCCACAGACGGUGCGGAGAUAUGAGGCAAUCCGUUUGCCUUCCGCGGUAGGCUCCAAGUGCGACGAGCACCAUAUUAUAUGCAAACUUGUCGCGUCCGCUGUGCAUACGGUGCACACUUACUAUAGAGUAUGCCAGCCCGAUGAGGUCUUCUUUCACUAGUUCGACGUCGAGCUCUUUCAGCACUCCGCGUAUUACGACGCAGAGUUUGCGCUCCUCCUAGAGCGCGUAGGUGUGGAAGCCUAUACGUUCCUUUCGGAGGUAUGCGAUGAGUGACCUAUGGUCGUCCGGCGUGCCCACUGAUCUGUAUACCGUGCGCUAUCUUACACGCAUGGACGUAGUUGAUUGUUUUGGCCUAAGUGCCUGGGAUACGCGGUCCCAUGCCGUCUUGUUUUGGAGUAUUACUAGCGGCGGCGUGGCCAUUUGAGGGACGGGAUUUGAGCUCUGCAACGGAGUUGCGCGGCGGUGUGUGUCCGAUUCAGGCGUGACUGUUUUAGGGCGCGAAGCGUUCGCGGCCUUGGACUGUUUUGUCUACUAUCUACGUCGAGCUAAUCAAAGACUAUCUGGUAAGACAGUCCUUCCUACCCGAUAGUAAGUGUGCACCGUAUGCACAGCGGACGCGACAAGUUCGCCUACAACAUGGUGCUCGUCGCAUUCGAGCUCACCCCGAAAGGCCCACCGCUGCCGUAAAUGAAGGCAGGUAUGCCAUCGAUACCCCAGCCCCUGCUCGCGCCCCGCCCCGGGCCUGCGCCCGCAUACAGCCCGCCUCAAACGGCGCCCCCCACAAACGAAUACUCGUUCGUGCGCGACUUCGUAGCCGCGGUUAACUACGACCGUUUGCGAUGGUGCGCAGUCGCCGUCCGCAGGUCGACUAUGGCCGACGAACGUCUCACCGCGACAUUCGAUCAUAUGGACGUCUACGAGUCUAAUAUAAACUGUAAUCAAUGGCGCAAAAAGUACGUAAUAAACCUUUUUCUUUAAAGUUCGCAUUCUUCAAUGUUAACGGACUCGCGCGACAGCGCGAUCAUAUAUAAUAAUAUGAAUUCCUCCGCGACAAUCUGACAGACAUUUUACGAUCGAUCUGCAGGUGUUGAGAGCAGACUGCGGGCCCAAGGAAUAUUAGGGCCCACCCACUAAACGACUCCCCUGCACUCUUACACCCGACGUCCGAUCUCUGUCCGGGGUCAAAACGCGGUCAACGCUACAACCAGACACGCGACACCACCCCGAGGACGCCCGACCGACGGGUUGUCGAGGCAAUAGUCGAUAACCAACGACGUCGGUGUCCGCGAUACGGCGGCCCUACCAGGCCGCCCGGGCGAUGCGGCUGGUGUUCCGGGAUACCCCGCUGGGCCAAAACCAGCCGACCGGGCAAAUACUCCUAUUUGCCUUAAGCCCUCGCGUCGUGACCCCAAAGUCACGAACUAUGUCGUAGUUAGGAAUAAGGAAGUACCUAUAUAAAAGAAAAUGUUUUUUCUAACACUUGAUUUUACUACCAGUUAAGCUACAUAUUAAUUAUUCUGAAGCUUGAAUAAGAUCGAUUGGACACGACACAUUAGUGUUAGAAAUUGUUGUUGAAUGCAGUGUCUUUAUAUUUGUUUAUGAAUGUCCAUUCGAAGAACAUUGUGAUAAUCUCAACAUCGAAAGAGUUGUUAUACAAAGUCCGUUUAUAUCAAAUUUAGGACUUGUGACUGUUUUCAUUCAAACUCUUUUACAAUUUUAUAAUUAUUAUUUUUUUAGGGAUUUUGUGACCCGGUUACCUUUAAGUCAUGUCUUAUCUUAAGUUAUAUUCUUAUUUUUAUGAAAAAUAUGAAUAUAACUUAAAUAUGAAGUAAAAGAUGAUUAAUUUGAGACAUUAAUCAACUGGAAUGAAAUUAAAUGAAAUUGAGAUGAGAUGAUAUGGGAUGAAAUAUAAUCUCCGUAAAAUGGUGGUCAUGUACUGUGAUAUUUUCAGUGGACUUUUUGGAGGAUCCCGAGAAGUUACGUCCAGCGGCUUUGUUUCAUUUUCCCACAUUUCUGCGCUUUCACUCCUCGCGUUCCAGCCAAAAAGUCAACUUAAUAAAUAGUUACAUAAAUAAUUACUUACGUAGAAUAUAUAAGAAAGACAGGUCGAAGCGUAAACGUAAUAUUAAUAUUUCUAUUAAUUUAUAAUGGUUGUUUUCUUUUUUGUUGUUGAUUCAAAAAUAUUGUAAGUUUGUAAGUAUUUUUAAUAGAGGUUUUAAAAAGU